UACGUAGGGUGCGAGCGUUAAUCGGAAUUACUGGGCGUAAAGCGCGUGUAGGCGGGCGGGCACGUCCGUUGCUGAAAUCCCCCGGCUCAACCGGGGAACGGGCGCGGAUACGACUCUCCUCGAGGGGCGUAGGGGGACCUGGAACUUCCGGUGGAGCGGUGAAAUGCGUUGAGAUCGGAAGGAACGCCCGUGGCGAAAGCGAGGUCCUGGACGCCUACUGACGCUGAGACGCGAAAGCCAGGGGAGCGAAUGGG
rnacentral:rRNA from 1 species